rnacentral:rRNA from 1 species
AGCAGCAGCCACGGUAAUACAGAGGGUGCGAGCGUUAAUCGGAUUUACUGGGCGUAAAGCGUGCGUAGGCGGCUUUUUAAGUCGGAUGUGAAAUCCCUGAGCUUAACUUAGGAAUUGCAUUUGAUACUGGGAAGCUAGAGUAUGGGAGAGGAUGGUAGAAUUCCAGGUGUAGCGGUGAAAUGCGUAGAGAUCUGGAGGAAUACCGAUGGCGAAGGCAGCCAUCUGGCCUAAUACUGACGCUGAGGUACGAAAGCAUGGGGAGCAAACAGGAUUAGAUACCCCCGUAGUCCCUGUCUCUUAUAC